rnacentral:rRNA from 1 species
UGCCAGCAGCCGCGGUAAUACGGGAGGCUCGAGCGUUAAUCAGAAUCACUGGGCUUAAAGGGUGCGCAGGCGGACUGACAAGUGUUUUGUGAAAUCCCACGGCUCAACCGUGGAACUGCAGAGCAAACUGUCAGUCUUGAGGAAGGUAGGGGCCGACGGAACCAUAGGUGGAGCGGUGGAAUGCAUAGAUAUCUAUGGGAACGCCAAAAGCGAAGGCAGUCGGCUGGGCCUUUCCUGACGCUCAGGCACGAAAGCGUGGGUAGCGAACAGGAUUAGAUA